GCCUCUUUCCUCUUUCCUCAUCGCAAAAUCUAUAUCUCAGAAACCCCAUCAAUCUCACAAAAGAUCGGUAUCAUGAAUCUCAUGAAUCUCAUCUUUGAUUUCCUGAUCUCUUAAGAACUCGUUCAUUCACAUUUUUCCUUCACAGAGUUUAUGGUAUGAACCCUAAUAUACCAUAAAUCAAAACCAGAAAUCAAAACUAACCUUUUGACAGGAAAUCUAUAAGCAUAUACCGAGUUUGGGUAACCUAAUCUCAGGGGUAUAUGUGCCUACUGUGGCUUCUCAAGUUGUGAAGGGUAACUAUCCUUACUGAUCCGAUGAACUGUGACUUAUACUUGAAAAACUAAAAGCACAAUCUUAGCAAAAAUGAGAACUUUUUCAGGUCUUGCAGCCGGUAUAAAGCCUGUACUGAACUUCAAGGGUUAUAUGGUAAGAAAUGAGGCAACUGAUUUGGAAUCACUCUAAGAUGGUUGAGGGUAGCUCUGGAGCUGUCAAUGACAUGGAAAGCACAAUGGUGCAGAAGUUCUGGGAUUCUUCCCUCGCUUUAGACCCACCUGAAGAUGAUUAUGACACCCAAAGUGAAAUGUCUGCAUUUAUGGCGUCAGAUAGUGUAGAACCAGGGAAUUCUUAUCCGUCUCUUGGUUUGGGAAAUGCAUUUGCCUUCAAAUUUUAGGAUCAUAAGGGUUGUGUACAUCUGCUCAAUUGAGGUACUGAGAAUUUGGAGGAGAUUGUAUCUACCGUUUUGCAGCUGGAAGAGCACCUGAGCCAAGUUGGUGUCGAUACAACUACCAACAAUUGGAACGAAGCACUUGUUCUGGGUGUGGUGGAUCCACACUUGCUUCCUCCUUGUGAUGUUGUCCUGCUAUGUUAAGAAUGUCAAACUCUAAUAAAAAAUCAUGAUAAGUUAAAGCUUCUCGGUAAUGAGAGUGAAUAACUUAAAUAAAACUCUAAAGGAAGCGUUUAUUUCAUUUGAUGAAUAAACUCCCAACAAUAUUUGAAGUUGUUAGUGGAGCUGUAAAGAAGCAACAAGUUAAGGAGAAAUCUUCAGUUUCAAAUCACAGCAACAACAAAUCCAAGCCCAUUUCACAAAGGUGAUUAGCCAACCCACCAGCAAAGUCUUACUCCAAGCCAACACCUCCUCCAAUAGAAGAUGAAGAGCAAGAGUCUGACCAAGAAGAGGAUUAACAUGGGAUCUUUCUGUGGUGCAUGUGAUGAGAACGAUGCAUCAGAUCUUUGUACUUGCAUGGCAUACUCAAGUCUAAAGAUUCGUGUGUCUUUUAUCUUGUCUGAUAUCCUAUAUCGGUUAUUGGUUUCUAGACGUAAAAAUGAAAUUAGUGUUUCUUCUCUCAGAUUCAGUUUCUUAAUACAGCGUUGUUCACGUAUCUGUAGAGUUUUCUUUCCUUGUGUGUGGUCUUCAACUUCAGUUACUGAAUUCUUUAUGAUCUACCUUUAGCAGGAACUCAAUACACACAUCAAUUACAAAGUUAGUGAUGAUUUUCCCUUUAAAUGGAUAGACAAGAAAUGAAGAGAAGGAUCCCAUGUAAUAUCAGUGGCAACUGCUGGAAGACUAUGGAUAGACAAGUCAUGUAUUGCAAUGCGGACUUCAGUGACCAAGUAGAGUUUAAACAGUAUGGGAAGAUACUUCAGGUGACCAGAGUUAGAGUCGAUUGCUAGUAGCCAGCCGGGGGAAUAUCAAUCCCUGGUAAGUACUUCAACUGGAGAUGCUUAUAUUAAUACUUUGAAAUUUAUGGAUAUUAACCUCUGGUUAUAUUUUCUUUGAGGUACUGAUGCUACGGGAUUAUGCUGUUGGUUAAUAUUUUAUAAGACGCAAAGUUCACGGCUGUGCAGAAUUCAACUCCCGAUUUUACGAUCCGUACUCACCACCCAACUGUAGGAAUAAUUGAGAAACUUUUAAGGGAAGAUUUGCUGAAUGUAUGGCCCGACAGAAGAAUGUACGAGGAAAGGAUUAAAUCAAAGGAUUAUUCUUCUUCUUCUCGUGGGAGGACACUGAUCCUUCCUUACGAAGUCCCAACUGGUGUACCACUUAAGACUAUGUUGUUGUUUUCAUAACUAUCAUAUUCUUUUCUAAGCUUGUAAUCACCUUUUCAUGUGAGGGGAAUGGAUUAACGAUAAGAGAAACACCCUUUAAACAAACCUAGCUCCAACCAGUUGGGACUUCAUUCAGUUCACAAGAAAACUUUGUGGAAUCAUUUUGGAACAGGAUAUCGUCAUUUCUCAUUCAUAAGGUUCUUCAUCAUCUUGGUCGUAUUUGCUAGACAAGAAUUCAGCAUCCUCGUGUGAUCAUCCUCUCAAAGCCACAAUAAUUUGCUGCAUUCUAAUUACUGAUCACUGUAAGAGAUUGUAACAUUCUGUUUCUAUAUGCAAUCCUUAGAAGCUAAAACAAACAUAGUAACAUCGACACAAUGUAAGAAACAACAACAUAUUUUCAUAUGAAAUCUUUCAGUUGUACAACUUGACACUUGAUUUUCUUAAUGCAACCUGUAACAUUUCCUUUA